rnacentral:rRNA from 1 species
AGAGUUUGAUCAUGGCUCAGGNNNNNCUGGCGGCAGGCUUAACACAUCAAGUCUAACGGACGCAGCAAUGCGUCAGUGGCAGACGGGUGAGUAACACGUGGGAACGUNNCUUCGGUUCGGACAACCCAGGGAAACUUGGGCUAAUCCGGAUACGUCCGCAAGGAGAAAUUAUCNNCGAAGGAUCGGCCCGCGUCUGAUUAGCUUGUUGGUGAGGUAAUGGCUCACCAAGGCGCGAUCCGUAGCUGGUCUGAGAGGAUNNCCCAGCCUCACUGGGGACUGAGCACGGCCAGACUCUACGGGAGGCAGCAGUGGGGAAUAUGGACAAUGGGGCAAGCCUGAUCCANNCAUGCCGCGUGGAUGAUGAAGGCCCUAGGGUUGUAAAGUCCUUUUAACGGGGAAGAUAAUGACGGUACCCGUAGAAUAAGCCCCGGCUAACUUCGUGCCAGCAGCCGCGGUAAUACGAAGGGGGCUAGCGUUGCUCGGAAUUACUGGGCGUAAAGCGCACGUAGGCGGGUUGUUAAGUUGGGGGUGAAAUCCUGGAGCUCAACUCCAGAACUGCCUCCAAAACUGGCGAUCUUGAGUUCGGGAGAGGUGAGUGGAACUGCGAGUGUAGAGGUGAAAUUCGUAGAUAUUCGCAAGAACACCAGUGGCGAAGGCGGCUCACUGGCCCGAUCUGACGCUGAGGUGCGAAAGCGUGGGGAGCAAACAGGAUUAGAUACCCUAGUAGUCC